GAAAGUAGUUUAUCAGAUCUGG
rnacentral:miRNA from 1 species